GGCCUGGUGGUGAAGAGGUAACACAGGAGUCUGCAAAACUCCCACGCGCGGGUUCGAUUCCCGCCCAGGCCU
rnacentral:tRNA from 1 species